CGCAUCUGUGCAUGCAGCAUAUCAAUAAGCGGAGGAAAAGAAACUAACAAGGAUUCCCUUAGUAACGGCGAGUGAAGCGGGAAGAGCUCAAAUUUGAAAUCUUCAAGGUUUUACCUUGACGAAUUGUAGUUUAAAGAAGUGUUUUCUGUUGAAGUUUUGGUAAAAGUUCUUUGGAAUAGGACAUCAUAGAGGGUGAGAAUCCCGUAUUUGACCAUUAUUUUCAGCUGUGUGAUACACUUUCAAAGAGUCGGAUUGUUUGGGAAUGCAGUCCAAAAUGGGUGGUAAAUUUCAUCUAAAGCUAAAUAUUGGCGAGAGACCGAUAGCGAACAAGUACCGUGAGGGAAAGAUGAAAAGAACUUUGAAAAGAGAGUUAAACAGUACGUGAAAUUGUCAAAAGGGAAGCGUUUGACACCAGCUGUUGUUUCUCUCGAAAAUCAAUUAAAAAGAGUUAGAUUUUGUUGCGUAUUGACCUUAACAGCUUGCAUUUCAAUUUUCUUGCUUUUUUUAAUGCACUUUUCGUUUAACAAGUCAACAUCAGUUUCUUUUGUUGUAAAAAGGUCAUUGGAAGGUGGCUUUCUUUUCGGAGAAAGUGUUUAUAGCCUUUGACUCCUGCAAUCGGAGAGACUGAGGUCUGCAGCGUAGAUCCUUCGGGGUUAGAUACAUUUGUGCUAAGUUAUAGCUUUUUAUAGACAACUUGUUGACUAUGAUUAGUCUUGUAGCUUACUCGCUUAUGCUAUUUUACCUACGCUUAGGAUGUUGACACACGCGCGUGCUCG
rnacentral:rRNA from 1 species